GACGAACGUUGGCGGCGUGCUUAACACAUGCAAGUCGAACGGAAAGGCCCUGCUUUUGUGGGGUGCUCGAGUGGCGAACGGGUGAGUAACACGUGAGUAACCUGCCCUUGACUUUGGGAUAACUUCAGGAAACUGGGGCUAAUACCGGAUAGGAGCUCCUGCUGCAUGGUGGGGGUUGGAAAGUUUCGGCGGUUGGGGAUGGACUCGCGGCUUAUCAGCUUGUUGGUGGGGUAGUGGCUUACCAAGGCUUUGACGGGUAGCCGGCCUGAGAGGGUGACCGGCCAAAUGGGGACUGAGAUACGGCCCAGACUCCUACGGGAGGCAGCAGUGGGGAAUAUUGCACAAUGGGCGGAAGCCUGAUGCAGCAACGCCGCGUGCGGGAUGACGGCCUUCGGGUGGUAAACCGCUUUCGCCUGUGACGAAGCGUGAGUGACGGUAAUGGGUAAAGAAGCACCGGCUAACUACGU
rnacentral:rRNA from 1 species